AACAGUUUGCAGACACUAGCCAAAUUGUUAGGGAAUUUCUUCAAAGCAUGUAGCUGACCUUCGAACAAUCUUCCGUGGAGAUGAGGCAAAAGUUAUAUAUGCAGCUCACGUUGGAAAGCAUUUCAUAGGUGUCAAGCGCACAUUUUCUUCUAAUCAAAUCUGUCUAUGGGCUUGAAUACCAAGUCUUCGACGCACUAAAAGAAAAAUUAGAUUUACCAAUCUAUUCUAUAGGUCCUACCUUACCUUGUUUGAACUUAAGGACAACUAUCCCGUCAAUACAGGUUCUGAUAUCACCUAGUAUUUCCAAUGGCCAGAUUCCCAACC